AGAACGAACGCUGGCGGCAGGCCUCAAACAUGCAAGUCUAGGGGAUGUAGCAAUACAUCACCGGCGGACGGGUGCGUAACACGUGGGAAUAUACCUUUCGGUACGGAACAACUGCGGGAAACUGCAGCUAAUACCGUAUACGUCCUUACGGAGAAAGAUUUAUCGCCGAAGGAUUAGCCCGCGUUCGAUUAGCUAGUUGGUGAGGUAAUGGCUCACCAAGGCGACGAUCGAUAGCUGUUCUGAGAGGAAGAUCAGCCACACUGGGACUGAGACACGGCCCAGACUCCUACGGGAGGCAGCAGUUGGAUCUUGGACAAUGGGGGAAACCCUGAUCCAGCCAUGCCGCGUGAGUGAUGAAGGCCUUCGGGUUGUAAAGCUCUUUACCGGGAAGAUAAUGACUGUACCGGAGAAUAAGCUCCGGCUAACUUCGCGCCAGCAGCCGC
rnacentral:rRNA from 1 species